UAGGGAAUCUUCCACAAUGGACUCAAGUCUGAUGGAGCAACGCCGCGUGAGUGAAGAAGGUUUUCGGAUCGUAAAGCUCUGUUGUUGGUGAAGAAGGAUAGAGGCAGUAACUGGUCUUUAUUUGACGGUAAUCAACCAGAAAGUCACGGCUAACUACGUGCCAGCAGCCGCGGUAAUACGUAGGUGGCAAGCGUUGUCCGGAUUUAUUGGGCGUAAAGCGAGCGCAGGCGGAAUGAUAAGUCUGAUGUGAAAGCCCACGGCUCAACCGUGGAACUGCAUCGGAAACUGUCAUUCUUGAGUGCAGAAGAGGAGAGUGGAAUUCCAUGUGUAGCGGUGGAAUGCGUAGAUAUAUGGAAGAACACCAGUGGCGAAGGCGGCUCUCUGGUCUGCAACUGACGCUGAGGCUCGAAAGCAUGGGUAGCGAACAGG
rnacentral:rRNA from 1 species